rnacentral:lncRNA from 1 species
GUUCCCCGUAGGCUGUCGGCUCCCCCCCUCCCCCUCCCCUCCUGCUCCCUUACGGUGGCCUAGCCUGUGGCAUCUCUUGUCGGACGAUCGGACCAGCACGGUAUUCAAUACCAAUUUAAGAUCGUUGUUUUGGAGGAAUGAGAAGCACCCCAGAAAGUCUUGGCUGACAACUGCUAUGUUUGAUAUCUGCCUUAAGUUUGGUUAAAGCCGGCCCAUCCAGAGCUUCUCAUAAUUUAUGUCAUUACUCUUUAAUUACAAUGGUUACAUUGAAGAGGCGGCAUGAAAAUGAUAAUUCGAUUAUAAUUGAGAACCCCACUUGUUGUUUGAAGUGGGCGGCAACAGCUCAAGAACAUAAAAAUAUGUCUGUUCUGGACUUCCAGUUAUUGACGGAGUCACUAACUUCAUUACAUCUCCUUUUGUUUACAAUUUUAGAUAAAUACAAGUAAUUUGGAGAUGGAGCAAUAUGUGGCCCUCGUUUAUGAUUCUGGACACCACAUUUUGGUUUUGAGUUGCCCGAAGCAGUCACUGAAGACUAUUUUUGUUUUGUUCUGAUCUCAACAUUGUCGAUAGAGUCCAACUCAUCACUGCAUCUUCUUUUAUGGACUAUUUUUAUAAAAUACAACUUAUCAAGAAAUGGAGUAAUAUGUAGUUAUGGAUCACCACAUUUAUAACUUCAUGUUUCCCGCAGCAGCCACUGAAAACAACUUUUGUUUUGUUUUGAUCAGGACAUGUCCACAGUGCACAGUCCACUUCAUCACAACAACUAUUUUAUGGAAUAUUUAAACAAAAUACAAGUGGUGUAGAGAUGUCAAUAUCAACCAACAUUCUGCAUGAACUAUUUCAGCGAAAUGUGAAAAAUCUUUGUGUUUAGUUAAGCUACAGUACACUUUUCAAUUAGAACUUUCUGCCAAGUUUUCUUUUUAACUGAUGAAAUUAAUUACUGUGUUAACUACAUCAAUAAAUGUACAUUUCAAUCUC